UGAGUUCUUUGAAAAACUGGAUGUCAACAAAGAUGAUGUCGUCACUAUAGAAGAAUACAACAGUUCCCAGAUUAUUAAGGAAGCGUGCAGCCGAUUGUUGACACGGUUUUUCACUCUGUAAUAAUUUUUUUUAUUUUUACUAUUUUUCUAACUGUAAUUUGUUUCUAAUGAUAAAACUUCUGUAUAUAACUGCAUUUUAAUUUUUUUUGGGGCAAGAUUUCUGUCGAAAUAAAACCUCUCGUUGGUUUUUCCCCCCAAAUCGUAUUUUAUUUACACAUUUCGAAUCUUUCAUUCGUCACAGUCAAUUGUGGAUUCUCCCUGAUGCCAUGUGUUUACGGUAUACGACAAUUGUUAAAAUAUUCACACUACAUGCUUUCAUAAUAAAUAUAAAAAA
rnacentral:misc_RNA from 1 species